rnacentral:misc_RNA from 1 species
UUUCCGUAGGUGAACCUGCGGAAGGAUCAUUGAAUCUAUCAACCCACCCACUCCUACCAUGCGAACAUACCCCAAUGUCCGUCGUUUAUCUCCCGGGAGGUAACGGCGGCUUCGGUGCGUUGAAUGGCCCCACAAAGGUCUUUUUGCGCAGGGUCGUUGUAAUAAUGAUCAUGUGCACACCUUUUCCCGCAAGGGGAAAGGAAGUCUCCGCGACCUAACACACCGUUGGAGGUGAGGUGCACGCUCGACUCGGUACCCCGUGUAUUUUUUUCUCACCCUCAAACCUCUAUCUAACGUAACAAACAGCCUUGAAAUCGGCUUGGCCGGUUUGCACGCACAUCAUAUACAAAGACAACUCUCAACAACGGAUAUCUUGGCUCUC